rnacentral:misc_RNA from 1 species
CCGAGUUUACAACUCCCAAAACCCCUGUGAAACAUACCACUUGUUGCCUCGGCGGAUCAGCCCGCUCCCGGUAAAACGGGACGGCCCGCCAGAGGACCCCCUAAAACUCUGUUUCUAUAUGUAACUUCUGAGUAAAACCAUAAAUAAAUCA